UACGUAGGGUGCAAGCAUUAAUCGGAAUUAUUGGGCGUAUAGGGCGCGUAGGCCGACCCACAAGUCGGAUGUGAAAUCCUAGGGCUCAACCUUAGAACUGCAUCCGAAACUGUGAGUCUAGAGGGUAGGAGGAGAAAACGGAAUUCCACAAGUAGCGGUGAAAUGCGUAGAUAUGUGGAAGAACACCUGUGGCGAAAGCGGUUUUCUAUCUUAUUCCUGACGCUGAGGCGCGAAAGCAAGGGGAUCAAACAGGAUUAGAUACCCUGGUAGUCCUUGCCGUAAACUAUGUAUACUUGGUGUAACUGGACUCAACCCCGGUUGUGCCGUAGCUAACGCGUUAAGUAUACCGCCUGGGGAGUACACUCGCAAGGGUG
rnacentral:rRNA from 1 species